ACAUUCUUCAAAAUUUCUUGGCCAGCUUUAUCAUCAGUGUUUUUAGACAAGGCAUUCUUCACAUCAUGGAUGAGUGCAUCAGGAAGCUCGUCCCAACUUGCUGCCAUUAAGUCCUUCAAAACAUUUUGAAUUUCGGGAUCUUGUAUGACAGGCAUGUGAGUUACGCCCUCACUAAAAAACCGUCUGCCUCCAAUGCCCAUCGUAAAAGAAGAUCUGAAAUCAGAAACGAUGCGAUUGCAAGGGUUAGCAACGGAAGGCGAGGAGAGAGUGAAGAGGGAUCGAGAAGCCAAGUGGUGGGUAACAGCGGCGAAACAUGAAGACCUAAAACAGGCUGCGCGGCAUAUGGAUCUCAGUAACACCAUCUUCUCCAUUUCUUUUUCUGAUUUCCUCGAAGAAUAGCUGAAUAAAAAGCAGCGACUACUGACUUCUUAGAUUAGAAAGCUAAUAUGGUAAAAUGCAGUGAGGUUACUGCAAUUUGAGCAAAGAUUCAG
rnacentral:misc_RNA from 1 species